GAGCGGGUCAUCCACUAAUCAGAAGGCCAGGGUUCAAUCCCCCACUCCACCAGUUUGAAUAGCGGAGUGUCCUUGGACAAGAUCCUGAACCCCAAAUUGCACCCGAUGGAAUAGCAACAGUCAAACGCUGGCAAAGAUCACAGUGAUGAUGAACAAAAUUAGCUCUGCAUCAACACUGAGGCCGGAGAUGACUGAGAAAGCAGCAGCAUGAGUUUUCCAUUGAAACACACACUAUGGACACACUACUGACACACAGACACAUAUGCAGAGUCAAGACAGGCAGAUGGUGGUACUAAUGAUGACAAUAGCAGACCAUCAACAUAAGUGUGGCAUUAUUAGUUUGUGACUGAUGUCAGCCCUGCGCAAGCUAAACAGCACAACAAAUGAACAAGCAGCGGAGAAGAGAGGAGACGAGAGGUGAAAAAGCAAUGGGAGAAUCCAAACCCUCUGACAGAGAAGGAGUGGUGAUGAGGCGAA